rnacentral:rRNA from 1 species
UGGGGAAUUUUGGACAAUGGGCGAAAGCCUGAUCCAGCAAUGCCGCGUGUGUGAAGAAGGCCUUCGGGUUGUAAAGCACUUUUGACCGGAAAGAAAUCCUCUGGGUUAAUACCUCGGGGGGAUGACGGUACCGGAAGAAUAAGCACCGGCUAACUACGUGCCAGCAGCCGCGGUAAUACGUAGGGUGCAAGCGUUAAUCGGAAUUACUGGGCGUAAAGCGUGCGCAGGCGGUUUUGUAAGACGGAUGUGAAAUCCCCGGGCUUAACCUGGGAACUGCAUUCGUGACUGCAAGGCUAGAGUAUGGCAGAGGGGGGUAGAAUUCCACGUGUAGCAGUGAAAUGCGUAGAGAUGUGGAGGAAUACCGAUGGCGAAGGCAGCCCCCUGGGCCAAUACUGACGCUCAUGCACGAAAGCGUGGGGAGCAAACA